rnacentral:rRNA from 1 species
CCGGUUUCCCGUUCGUCUGUCGACGCAAAACGAAACAAAACGAAAAUAUCAAUGGCGAACCCCCCUUCCACCCCACUCCUCUUCGCCUCCUCCCACCCAACCCCGCCGCCGGUGACCUCCUCUUCCCCCACCACCGGUGCCCUCUCCCCUCCCCUCCCAGAUCGACUAGACCAGAUCCGGCCAGGCUCUCCAUCCCUCCUCGCGCCUGAAACACUAGAAGCCCCUAUUUUUCCUACCCAAACGCCGCCGCACUCCGCCGACUCCCCAAUCCCCGCCGGCGACCUCUACUCACCCUCUCCUCUGCCCCUCACUUUCCCUCCAAAGGGAAGGCCCCAGACCGGCCGGAUCCACCAUGCCCACAGUGGGGCUUCCGGAUCCGACGCCCGCAACCAGAGGAGGAGUGCCUUCCGGAUCCCAUCUGCUCUCUUCCACAAUUCCACCCAUGGAGGUCUUCUUCUUCAUCUCCAUACCUGAUUCGUGAGCUUUUUUUUGUGUGUGCAGGUUGCUCUGAUCUGAUCUGGUGAAGGGGGCCGUGGAGAAGCUGCUCCCAUCUGCCAGCCAAGGAGAAGCUGCUCAACAUCACCACCAUCUGCUCCAAUUAAUCCGCCUGUAACGUAACCCGAGGUAAAGGAGGGAACAGUUCUGAGCACUCUGCAGGUGAUCCAGAGGUUGAUCCCAGUUCUAUUUCGUAUUUGAUCGCCGGUCUGAUGGAUUGCUACUACUGCUAGUUGGUGGUCAUGGCAGGGACAGAGACGGCCACCGAGCGAGCGAGGGAGGGCCCAUGGCGCUCUCCUGCAUGAGCUGCCCGUCCGUUGCCAGCGGUCCCUCCGUGCGCCGGCACGCGGCGAGUCCGCCCUGGUCGUCCGUCGCCUUUUCCUUUGCCAGAUGCAUUGGGAGAUCGGCCGCCGCCGCCUCAGGGUGGCGCAUUGACGCCAUCGCCGAGAACGGAGGAUAAUGAGAUGUUGAAGCGGCAGAGUGAAUCCAUGAGACUGUAGUGCAAUUGCACCAUUUCAUUGAAUAUUACUCAGGAAUAAGGACAUUUCAAUGGCAGAUUAGCUCUAUUUUUCUUUUUCAUUUUUCUUACUAUUGGAGUGAGGACAUGUAGAAUGAGAAACUGUGUGGUAGCAGAUAUGGCAACUGUGUGAUAGUAGAAUCAAUAAUAAGGAAUAUGUCAACUGUGUGAUAGUGACAUUUUUCCAUCACUAUUGUUUCUCGGAAUUGUAUGCAUAAAAUGAAAUUGGUUGAUUUUA